AUUGAACGCUGGCGGCAGGCCUAACACAUGCAAGUCGAACGAGUGGCGGACGGGUGAGUAAUGUAUGGGAAACUGCCCGAUGGAGGGGGAUAACUACUGGAAACGGUAGCUAAUACCGCAUACUAUCAGAUGCGCCCAGAUGGGAUUAGCUAGUUGGUGGGGUAACGGCUCACCAAGGCGACGACCCCUAGCUGGUCUGAGAGGAUGACCAGCCACACUGUGACUGAGACACGGUCCAGACUCCUACGGGAGGCAGCAGUGGGGAAUAUUGCACAAUGGGCGCAAGCCUGAUGCAGCCAUGCCGCGUGUAUGAAGAAGGCCUUAGGGUUGUAAAGUACUUUCAGCGGGGAGGCGUUACCCGCAGAAGAAGCACCGGCUAACUCCGUGCCAGCAGCCGCGGUAAUUC
rnacentral:rRNA from 1 species